CAAUUAACGCCUCUCACCGCAGCGCUUCCUGUGAGUUCGUUCUCUGUUUACUUCCUGUUUGUUUACUGUUUUGUUUACGUUCCUGAGAGUUCCUGAGUGAAGUUUGACUUUUGGACACAUGACUUUGCGUUGCGGUGGAAACAGGCUCCGGCACGUUUGCCUCCUCGCUCCGGUGCACAAACCCAUUUUUAACUCCACAGAGGAAGAGUGUGCAGAAACGGGGCCAGUCCUUGCAUACGAGGAUCCCAAGGAUGAGUGUGGCGGGAGCUACACUGUUAGACAAGGAUUCUGGAGGCCCAGCUGCUGAUUGACGGCUACACAUUGUGAUCAUCAAGCUUCUCACCUGAAUCUGGCAGGGUCAAGAGGAGCAGAGAUGACCGUCGGAGACGUGGGAGAACGGAAUGAGGUGGCUGUUUAUUCUCCCCCUCCAAAGCCACAUACCUUUUUAGAGUGGCUUUGGAGCACGGCCUAAAACAACACCAGAGGCCAUGUACACAAAUUACACGUCUCGCAGUGAGAUGAAGGGCUGCAUGGUAGAGUGUAGUUCCCAGUAAAAAAUAAUAGUGGUCAGAUAUAUUUUUAGUACGUAGAUGUUCCGUGUGGCUGAAAGAUCCGAAAGUGCUUGGAAAGAUUACGAAACAAUUGAGCCAAAAGGUUUUUUCUUUUUUGUUCCAUCCCUUUUUUUGAACUAUCUUCGGGCAGGGUUCAUCCGGAGGCCGCACAAGAUUAUACAACAUCAAGUUAAGAGCUCAUGUUUCAUCUUACAGAGGAAACGAACGGUGACUAUGAUAGAUUACGCCGAGGAUGAAUUGUCCUAAUUGAAAUGAAUAUCAUAAUUUUUCUCUCGUGGUAUUUUUCUUGUCUGCCCUCAAAACUAGUCAAAUAGGAGUAGACCCACAUUGUGUUCACACUGUAGUAAUAACAGGGGUAUUAGUAAUAAAUGCCUCGCUGCUUUUGUGGUUUGGGGAUUUUGGGGGGGGAAAAUAACAGCCAGCAUGAAAUGACAGGAAUAACCGAUCCAAUACAAAUAUUUAAACAUUGACCUCAAGUUACAUUUAAGUCUUUGAACAUGCUUUGUUUCUAUUAUUUGAUCAAGUAGUCUUUCUUCCACUAAUUGUAUUUAUCUUCAUAUAAAUCUUGCAUCGAGAUUCUUCUUGCUGCUCUUUUCUCGUCAUGAAUAUUCAUCUUUUACCAGACACCUUGUGGGCUUUUUGUUUAACUUCCUCAUAAAUGAUUUUGCAUUGUUUAUGUCAAAGAAAGGCAAAGACAUCCAGUAGUGUUUACCUACCCUGAGCUGUGCACGAGGCCGUCCUUUUCCCCCCCUCUGUAACCCAGUUAUUAAUUUGUGUCGGGCUUAUUUAUUAUUAGGCUUGUCUAAGCACUUUAUCUCUGCUGUGAAAACUGCUGUACCAAUAAAAAUGUAUUAUUAUUGUGA